rnacentral:rRNA from 1 species
GACGAACGCUGGCGGCGUGCUUAACACAUGCAAGUCGAACGGAAAGGCCCUGCUUUUGUGGGGUGCUCGAGUGGCGAACGGGUGAGUAACACGUGAGUAACCUGCCCUUGACUUUGGGAUAACUUCAGGAAACUGGGGCUAAUACCGGAUAGGAGCUCCUGCUGCAUGGUGGGGGUUGGAACGUUUCGGCGGUUGGGGAUGGACUCGCGGCUUAUCAGCUUGUGGGUGGGGUAGUGGCUUACCAAGGCUUUGACGGGUAGCCGGCCUGAGAGGGUGACCGGCCACAUUGGGACUGGGAUACGGCCCAGACUCCUACGGGAGGCAGCAGUGGGGAAUAUUGCACAAUGGGCGGAAGCCUGAUGCAGCAACGCCGCGUGCGGGAUGACGGCCUUCGGGUUGUAAACCGCUUUCGCCUGUGACGAAGCGUGAGUGACGGUAAUGGGUAAAGAAGCACCGGCUAACUACGUG